rnacentral:rRNA from 1 species
UGGGGAAUUUUGGACAAUGGGCGAAAGCCUGAUCCAGCAAUGCCGCGUGUGUGAAGAAGGCCUUCGGGUUGUAAAGCACUUUUGUCCGGAAAGAAAUCCUUGGCUCUAAUACAGUCGGGGGAUGACGGUACCGGAAGAAUAAGCACCGGCUAACUACGUGCCAGCAGCCGCGGUAAUACGUAGGGUGCAAGCGUUAAUCGGAAUUACUGGGCGUAAAGCGUGCGCAGGCGGUUUGCUAAGACCGAUGUGAAAUCCCCGGGCUCAACCUGGGAACUGCAUUGGUGACUGGCAGGCUAGAGGUAUGGCAGAGGGGGGUAGAAUUCCACGUAGUAGCAGUGAAAUGCGUAGAGAUGUGGAGGAAUACCCGAUGGCGAAGGCAGCCCCCUGGGCCAAUACUGACGCUCAUGCACGAAAGCGUGGGGAGCAAACAGGAUUCAGAUACCCUGGUAGUCCACGCCCUAAAGCGAUUGUCAACUAGUUGUUGGGGACUUCAUUUCCUUAGUAACGUAGCUAACGCGUGAAGUUGACCAGCCUGGGGAG